GGUAGCAUGGCCGAGCGGUCUAAGGCGCUGGUUUAAAGCACCAGUCAUUUCGAUGGCGUGGGGUUCGAAUCCCACUGCUGCCA
rfam:Ciona savignyi cont_35029, whole genome shotgun sequence.